CUACUAAAAGCAUACUGCAUAAACAGCUUGAGAGCAUCAUUGUUGUUUAAAAACUCGGGCUCAUAUAUCUCAUCACCAAGUCUGCUUAGUGACUGUUUAUCUCUAGUUGUUAUAAUGAUUCGACUUCCGCCACCAAAUGAAGGUUGCUUUCCAAUUAAGGCUUCAAUUUGGGAUGAACUCUCCACAUUAUCCACAACAACAACAACAACAACAAAGCCUUUUCCCACUAAGUGGGGUCGGCUAUAUGAAUCCUAGAACGCCAUUGCGCUCGGUUUUGUGUCAUGUCAUCCGUUAGAUCCAAGUACUCUAAGUCUUUUCUUAGAGUCUCUUCCAAAGUUUUCCUAGGUCUUCCUCUACCCCUUCGGCCCUGAACCUCUGUCCCGUAGUCACAUCUUCAAACCGGAGCGUCAGUCAGCCUUCUUUGCACAUGUCCAAAUCACCGGAGCCGAUUUUCUCUCAUCUUUCCUACAAUUUCGGCUACUCCUACUUUACCUCGGAUAUCCUCAUUCCCAAUCUUAUCCUUUCUCGUGUGCCCACACAUCCCACGAAGCAUCCUCAUCUCCGCUACACCCAUUUUGUGUGUACGUGUUGAUGCUUCACCGCCCAACAUUCUGUGCCAUACAACAUCGCUGGCCUUAUUGCCAUCCUAUAAAAUUUUCCCUUGAGCUUCAGUGGCCUACGACGGUCACACAACACGCCGGAUGCGCUCUUACACUUCAUCCAUCCAGCUCGUAUUCUAUGGUUGAGAUUUCCAUCUAAUUCUCCGUUCUCUUGCAAGAUAGAUCCUAGGUAGCGAAAACGGUCGCUUUUUGUGAUCUUCGCUAGAUUGCUCCGGUCAUUAGUGUGGAUAAGUAUAUAUAAAUGGAUAGAGAUAGGAAAGCAAACACAAGAUGUACGUGGUUCACCCAGAUUGGCUACGUCCACGGAAUAGAAGAGUUCUCAUUAAUUGUGAAGGGUUUACACAAGUACAUAGGUUCAAGCUCUCCUUUAGUGAGUACAAGUGAAUGAUUUAGUACAAAUGACAUUAGGAAAUAUUGUGGGGGAGAAUGAUCUCGUAAUCACGAAACUUCUAAGUAUCGGAGUGUGGUGUCGUCUUGACUUGCCUUAUCUGUCUCAUAGGUAGAUGUGGCAUCUUCUCUGGAAGUACUUUUUCCUCCAUCCAGGGGUGGUAUCUUUAACUGGUGGAGAUGCACAAGGUAAUGUAUCAAUUUCACUUGAAGCUUACUUGUAGUUUCAGGCUUGGUCAAGCGCGAUACAAACCAUGUAGUAGGAGUCCCCCAAGUCGCCGAGCUAGGGGGUCUGCUGAAAGAGGUGACAGACAAGGUAAGCAAUCAGAGCUCCGACUGAUUGUUCACCUUCUCCCCAUCUUGCAGCAGCAUGAAGGAUAAAGAGAAGAAAAAUGAGAAGAGAUGAUAUGAGAUACUUUUGCUUUUGAAGAAGUAACUUUUCCACAGGCUUAUUCUUGAACUGAGCUGGAGGGUUUUCUGGUUUCCUCCAGAGUAUAAGGCCGACUGAAGAAUUUGAGGGUCAAAACAAGUCCAUCAAAUCUAGAGUACGUUCCACCCUGCUGAUAUGGGAUACUUUUGCUUUUGACAGAGUAAUGGAUGUAUCGGCACGUGUGCUGUUACGCUUGUCUCCACAUGCUUCCUUGUAUCCUUCGCACUUGCCCUAUCUGUUCCUCAAGCAGAUGCGGAAUCUUCCCUGGAAACAUAAGAUGUUGAAGAUGAGUACUCGAGAGCAAUGCCAGGUAAGUAAUCAGGUAAGGGGUUCCAGGCAGUCAGUUCCUGGCUGGAAGCUUGAUUCCAAGUGCUGACUGAUUGCUCUCUUUCUCCUUGUCUUGCAGGUAAAAACAAGGCCAAAGGAAAAGACAGGGAAAAAGCAUGAUAUGGGAUACUCUUGCUUUUAACCCUGAUGAUAUGAGAUAUUCUUGCUCUAGUAUAGCUUGUUUGCAGAGGUAUUAUCGGGGGGAAAGAAAGCUGAAUAUUUCGAAAGGCUUCGUUGGGAGUGCCCUCUCAGAUAUGAUGAAGGGUUGAGCAUUUUUGCAGGUCUGCCUGUCCGUUGGGGAUGGAGGUCGACAUAUAUAGGAGUCUCCCUAACAACAAGUAGUAAUGCUAUUCCUUUACCCUGCUUGGUCAUAGCACGGUAGUGGGAGCUGCCAGUUUCACAUGUUUUAACUCUGUCAGAGCACUUUGAAAAAGUGGUCUGUGGUAUCUGGCUCUCGAGAUUCGGAGAACGAUGCCUCUUCGAUUUUUGAGAAAGCAAUCAUGCUGGGGGUCUGGCUCUCGAGAUUCGGAGAGCAGUGUCUCUUCGAUUUUUGAGGAAGUAAUCAUGUUGGGAGUCUGGCUCUCGAGAUUCGGAGGGCGGUGCCUCUUCGAUUUUGGAGCAAGCAAUCUUGUUGGGAGUGUUGUCUCGAAUGUGAGUAAAGGUUGGGCAUGUUUGCUAGUCUACCUUGCCACGAAGCACAAAGGUUGACACACAGGGACUUUCCAAUUAUCCAGCAAUGGUACUGUUCCUUUACCCUCUCUUCGAUUUUGAGAAAGUAGUCAUGUUGGGAGUCUGGCUCUCGAGAUUCGGAGGACGGUGCCUCUUCGAUUUUGGAGCAAGCAAUCUUGUUGGGAGUGUUUUCUCGAAUGUGAGUAAAGGUUGGGCAUGUUUGCUAGUCUACCUUGCCACGAAGCACAGAGGUUGACACACAGGGACUUUCCAAUUAUCCAGCAGUGGUACUGUUCCUUUACCCUUGUGGGUAAUAAUAUGGUAGCUAGACCUUCAAAAUUUAUGUGUCUAAACUUUGUUAGUGCUGUUUCUUUGCUAUUCUUUUACCUUUCUUGGUCAGAGCGAUGUAGUGGGAGCUGCAAGCUUCACGUGCUCAACUUUGGCAGAGAACUUUGGCAAAGUUAUCUGUGGUACCCAUGAGCUAUUGUUGCGUGUGGGAAGUGGGUGAUUGAACAGUAAGAUUCAUGUGCUUUCUACUUCACCAGAAGUCUUCGACAGAAUGCCCAUAAUUUCUGCAAAGCUGAGUGUGCGUGUGACAGGUGCUGACAAGGCUAGAAAAGUAGGUGCCUCUUCGAUUUCUGAGAUCGGCCCUCGUGGUCUCUGAGCAGCCCAGCUUUUGAGAAAGCGAGCGCCUCUUCGAUUGAUUCGGAGAACGAUGCCUCAUCGAUUUUUGAGAAAGCAAUCAUGCUGGGGGUCUGGCUCUCGAAGAUUCGGGGAGCAGUGUCUCUUCGAUUUUUGAGAAAGUAAUCAUGUUGGGAGUCUGGCUCUCGAGAUUCGGAGGGCGGUGCCUCUUCGAUUUUGGAGCAAGCAAUCUUGUUGGGAGUGUUUUUCUCGAAUGUGAGUAAAGGUUGGGCAUGUUUGCUAGUCUACCUUGCCACGAAGCACAGAGGUUGACACACAGGGACUUUCCAAUUAUCCAGCAAUGGUACUGUUCCUUUACCCUCUCUCUUCGAUUUUUAAGAAAGUAGUCAUGUUGGGAGUCUGGCUCUCGAGAUUCGGAGGACGGUGCCUCUUCGAUUUUGGAGCAAGCAAUCUUAUUGGGAGUGUUUUCUCGAAUGUGAGUAAAGGUUGGGCAUGUUUGCUAGUCUACCUUGCCACGAAGCACAGAGGUUGACACACAGGGACUUUCCAAUUAUCCAGCAGUGGUACUGUUCCUUUACCCUUGUGGGUAAUAAUAUGGUAGCUAGACCUUCAAAAUUUAUGGGUCUAAACUUUGUUAGUGCUGUUUCUUUGCUAUUCUUUUACCCUUCUUGGUCAGAGCGAUGUAGUGGGAGCUGCAAGCUUCACGUGCUCAACUUUGGCAGAGAACUUUGGCAAAGUUAUCUGUGGUACCCAUGAGCUAUUGUUGCGUGUGGGAAGUGGGUGAUUGAACAGUAAGAUUCAUGUGUUUUCUACUUCCCCAGAAGUCUUCGACAGAAUGCCCAUAAUUUCCGCAAAGCUGAGUGUGCGUGUGACAGGUGCUGACAAGGCUGGAAAAGUAGGUGCCUCUUCGAUUUCUGAGAUCGGCCCUCGUGGUCUCUGGGGAGCCCAGCUUUUGAGAAAGCGAGCGCCUCUUCGAUUUCUGAGAUCGGCCUUCGUGGUCUUUGAGCAGCCCAACUUUUGAGAAAGCAAACGCCUCUUCGAUUUCUGAGAUCAACCCUCGUGAUCUCUAAGCAGCCCAGCUUUUGAGAAAGCAAACGCCUCUUCGAUUUCUGAGCAGGCGCCUCUUCGAUUUCUGAAGCUCCGUCGAGUGCAGAUUUUUAUAUAGGGGCUGGCAUUAAGUUCCAAAGCACACUUGAAUCUCCACCAGUAGAAGCUUCAUUCUUGCACUUCUAAGAUCUUGAUUUGUCCGACCUCUUCUCUCUUCAACACCUUUGAAAAUGUCUGGCCCCUCCGACCGUCGUUUUGACUUGAACCUUGUUGAAGAGGCAGCCCCGCCUUCUCCAGACAACAUAUGGCGCCCAUCCUUCGUCUCCCCUACUGGUCCUCUUACCGUUGGGGAUUCCGUGAUGAAGAAUGAUAUGACCGCUGCGGUGGUGGCCAGGAACCUUCUCACUCCCAAAGAUAACAGACUACUUUCCAAACGGUCUGAUGAGUUAGCUGUUAAGGAUUCGCUGGCUCUCAGUGUUCAGUGUGCAGGUUCUGUGUCUAAUAUGGCCCAACGCCUAUUUGCUCGAACCCGCCAAGUUGAAUCAUUGGCGGCUGAAGUGAUGAGUCUCAAACAGGAGAUUAGAGGGCUCAAGCAUGAGAAUAAACAGUUGCACCGGCUCGCACAUGACUAUGCUACAAACAUGAAGAGGAAGCUUGACCAGAUGAAGGAAACUGAUGGUCAGGUUUUACUUGAUCAUCAGAGAUUUGUGGGUUUGUUCCAAAGGCAUUUAUUGCCUUCGUCUUCUGGGGCUGUACCGCGUAAUGAAGCUCCAAAUGAUCAACCUCUGAUGCCUCCUCCUUCUAGGGUUCUGUCCAGUACUGAGGCUCCAAAUGAUCCCCCUCCGGUGCCUUCUCUUUCUGGGGCUCUACCGACUGCUGAGACUUCUCCUAAGCAACCUUUGUGAAGGCUCCCUCUUGUGUGUUUAUUUUGACUCAUGUAUAUGUACAUAUUUGUAGCUUAUCGGGGAUAUCAAUAAAUAAGCUUUCCUUCAUUUCAACGUAUUGUGUUAAAUACACCAAAGCCUUCUUCGCUAAGUUCUUUGAAUUUUCUUUUGUUGAAGCUUGUAUGUUGAAGCUUUCUGAGUGGAGCAUGUAGGUUGGGGUAGUGUUCCCUUAAUUUCCCGAGUGAGGAAAACUUCUCGGUUGGAGACUUGGAAAAUCCAAGUCACUGAGUGGGAUCGGCUAUAUGAAUCUUAGAACGCCAUUGUGCUCGAUCCUGUGUCAUGUCCUUCGUUAGAUCCAAGUACUCUAAGUCUUUUCUUAGAGUCUCUUCCAAAGUUUUCCUAGGUCUUCCUCUACCCCUUCGGCCCUGAACCUCUGUCCCAUAGUCGCAUCUUCUAAUCGGAGCGUCAGUAGGCCUUCUUUGCACAUGUCCAAACCACCGUAACCGAUUUUCUCUCAUCUUUCCUUCAAUUUCGGCUACUCCUACUUUACCCCGGAUAUCCUCAUUCCUAAUCUUAUCCUUUCUCGUGUGCCCACACAUCCAACGAAGCAUCCUCAUCUCCGCUACACCCAUUUUGUGUACGUGUUGAUGUUUCACCGCCCAACAUUCUGUGCCAUACAGCAUCGCCGGCCUUAUUGCCGUCCUAUAAAAUUUUCCCUUGAGCUUCAGUGGCAUACGGCGGUCACACAACACGCCGGAUGCACUCUUCCACUUCAUCCAUCCAGCUUGUAUUCUAUGGUUGAGAUCUCCAUCUAAUUCUCCGUUCUUUUGCAAGAUAGAUCCUAGGUAACGAAAACGGUCGCUCUUUGGCAUUUCUUGAUCUCCGAUCCUCACCCCUAACUCGUUUUGGCCUCCAUUUGCACUGAACUUGCACUCCAUAUAUUCUGUCUUUGAUCGGCUUAGGCGAAGACCUUUAGAUUCCAACACUUCUCUCCAAAGGUUAAGCUUUGCAUUUACCCCUUCCUGAGUUUCAUCUAUCAACACUAUAUCGUCUGCGAAAAACAUACACCAAGGAAUAUCAUCUUGAAUAUGGGGUAUGGGCGGUAUAAACUAUUUUAAAAUGUAAAAUAUAAAAUAUAAAAUUAAUAAAUAAUAAUUAAUAAAAAUUGACUGUAUUAUGUACGAUGAAUAAUUACGAUCACGGAAUCCCUAGGAUCCCAAAAGAAAAAUUCGGUGAGAAUCCUUUUCCAGAAUUUUUAAUCCAACCGUUUCUUGUGUUAAAUUUAUCCCAAAAAUUAGUUUUGACCAAAAAUUGAUUUUUAGUCCAAGGGUUGGAGCAAAUUGAGAGAGUUAAAAAACUAAAAUUUAAGCUAAAGUCCAAAGAUUUGAGUUAGUCUAACAAAUACAAAUGAGAGAAAGUAACAUUCAUAUUUUAUUGCGGCUUUUAAUUUUUAUUUAAAAUGGUAUCUAAACUUGGUAUAAUUACUUACUUUUAAAAUUGAUAAAAAUGGUCUUUGAGAUUGUCUACCAUCAAUCAUUUUGGUCAUUCUGUGAAAAAUCUUAAUUAAAUUAGAGGUAUUUUUAUCAAUACCUUUGAAUUGAUGAUUUCUUCAAUUUAAUGAAAUAUUUUCACAAAUCAUGGUGCAUAUUAUUGGUGGUCCUAAGCUCCUUUAUAUGUGUAGCGUAUGCUUAUGUCAUGAUCUUUCUGCUUCUACUAAAUAUCAGAUGAUUUUGUUUUUACUAUUUGUUUUACUUUGUACAUGGGGUGGCUUUUAGGUUCCCCUGUUGUCUUACUUGCUAUGUUAUUUCCUCAACAAGGUUUGCUUUUAUGUUUCCCUCAUUUGUAAAUUUCCUUUUUUUUUGUUUUUACUUUAAUAUGAUAAUGGGAUGCUCGGUGAGCACUAUUACCCCAUGAUUUUCACGCAUGCACACAAAAAAAAAAAAAUUUAUCGUCACAACUAGCAUAUUUAUCAAAAUACUCGAAAAGUUAGAGUUUCUAGUCACAACUAACAUUGCCAUAUAGUCAAAAUGCUCAAAGUAUAGAAAAGAAAUAUAAAGAAGAUAUCAAGUUAGAUCAGUUACAUAGAGAGAGUCAUUCCCAUGGGAUUGCAUGAUUUCUCUAUCAUUGCAAUGUAUUUUUCAUAAAACUUCCUUUUCAUGAUUAGGGACUACGAUCCUUGGUGCUAUAAAUUCAGCAGUUGACUCAAGCACAGAAGUUAUCUACAGUGAGAAUCCUGAUGGUAAUUUUGUAAAGUCAAACAACUUUGCAUAUGCCAUUGUUGUGGUUGGCGAGUACCCUAUGCUGGGACUGCGGGAGACAGCCCAAACCUUACGAUGGCGGAACCUGGCCCAAGUGUCAUCAGCAAUGUGUGUGAAAGUGUAAUGUGCAUUGUUACCAUAAUAACUGGAAAACCUAUUGUAAUAGAACCAUACUAGAAAUUACGCCCGUUGUUGCGGAAACCAACUGUUACAGGCGUAAUCGAAUUAAUAAAACACAUUUAAGUUGAAUAAGAAUGUCCCCAUGAUUAGUCUUCUCGUUUAUUUUUCACAAACCAAUCACAUAUUAAAAAUCCAAGUACGAAAGCUUUGCAAAGAUAAAUAAAAAAUUUAUAUAACUAAUUAGACUUUGAACAUGCAAUCAAGGCACAUACUCGUAUACCUAAAAAUAGCAAGGAACCGGCUUCUUCCUCCCACAACCAGAGUUCCUGAAAUUUCCAAAGAAAGUAAAUCCGUUAGCAAUUCAGAGAAAUUGGAAGACCAAAUCGUAUUACAUUUGAGUUAAAUGAGCAAAGGUAAACCAAUUAAAUGAGAUACUAAACACAUUUCGAAUCUAUGAAAUAGAAGAAUAAUCAUGUUAGGACUCCCAAGAUGGUGUCCUAAGCACAAAAUUAUAGGUUAAGAAAGGUAAAUCCCAAUCCAAAGCUCCAACCUUUUAACUGAAAAUGAAACAAAAAAGCAUGGAUCAUAUAUUUCAGUUUUAUUAUUAGAUUUUCUAAAUCCCCAAUUUGAAUGUGUUGUAAAGACCUGCUAAAGAUAAUACCACCAACUAAGGGUGGCAAUCUGACCAGCGUUGUGCAUGUCAUGUCGACUCUAUGCAACUUAAUAUAUAACAUUUAAGCAGCAUUAGACGGUCUCCUAAGCAUCUACAAACCAUUUAACAUUAUUUCCCCAAUUUUAUUUCCCAAUUUUAUCAAAUGCUGCAUAAACGAUCACAAUUUACUCCCUUACAAUUUCCACCUAACUCCGAACAAACAAUAUUGAUAAAUCUUUAUCAUCACCUUUAACGAAACAGAUUACAGCGAAAAGAAAAAAAAAGUUACUAUGAAAUCAAAUUCUUCUAGAUGUCCAACCUAACCCAUCUAUGGGAAGGCAAGCAAUCGGACGUGCAUUUAGACCAAGCAAAAUAAAUUUUACAAUUUAUCAAAACAGCAACUGAUUCUCCCAAAGAGAACACAACAUACCAACAUAUUAUUCACCAUAUUCUAAGCUUUCAUUUUCGUUCUAUCUCUUUCGUUAUCUAAACUUAUAGUUAUCAAAACAGCAAUAAAAUCAUAGACAAACCUUCAAUCAUUUAUCAAAACUGAAUUAAUUAAACUUCUGCUCCGCAGUCCGUUAAUUUUAAUUGCAACUCUCAUUCUAAAAAUUUAAAAUUUUGCAUUGAAUAAUCAAACGCACUUGCACGUUACAUUCCUUUUAUUGGUUCUUGACAUAAUACAUUUUAGGAUUGAUGUAAUAAUAUCACUACAAACAUGAAUUGCGAUAGAUAUAGAAACCAAACUUGCACACAAAUGUUUGACUGAAUUCAGAACCACUUAAUUCAACAUAAAAAAUUACCUCACAUGCUUGCUCCCCUUCUGCUCUCGCAUCGUCGGCUCCGCUACUAAACGAUUAAUGAAGUCCCAAAGCAAAAACAGAACAAAAAACAUUUACCAAUCCAACAUUUCAACACAUGGUUUUGGCAGGUAUAACAUUUCAACAUAAGCAUGAUAUAGAAAGAAAGAAAUCCACAUGUCACUUUGUUUUUUCAGAAUCAACAAAAAGGGCAACUAGAAGAGAAUGUAACCAAUUUUAAAGAGUAAAUCAGUCUCCCAAUAAAGGAGAACAAUGCUGGCGGUAGACCAAGAGUAAGUACAACCCGACUGCAGCAACAAAAACACAAUUGACUUUCACACUACAGAAAUAAAUAAUAAAAAAACACAUACCUGCACCCAAUGCAUUGUUUUUUUUUUCCUCUGCAGUAUAAGAAUAAAAAAGAAUAACAUUCCCCUGAAACCAAAUUCAUCCCCCAAUUUCUUGCAACAAAGAGGGAGACCAACCUUGUGUUCUUGGAGAACAGUAUAACAAUUAGACACAAUCAGACUAAUCCAAGUUCCCACUAUGAUAAUGAAAAAUUAAAAUUAAUAAAAUAGCUCAAAUCAUAUCACAGUAUGUCACAAAGUACACCAUUUGAUAACCAAUAAAUUUAACAAAAAUAGAUUCAAUAGUCUAUAUCAAUUAAUCAAUAGUCUAAAGUAUGAAAAAAAUUGAUUUCAAAGCCUUCCUUAGGAACUUCACAACGUAUCAACAGACAUUAUGAUAUCGAUGAUGGUAUCCAUGAAACCCCAAGCUGCAAGCAAAUACUGCCUUUGGAAAUUUUCAAUAUAAAUGGUUUUGCAAACCAGCCACUAAUGAAACAUCUAAUUUCAAACAAAUAAUAAAAGCUUUCUUUAACUGACACAUUAUCCUUCUUCUUUCCUCCCAUUUACUUCCCACCCUCCCUAUUAAUCCCUCCAUUUUGAAACUCCUAUAUUCUUCCUAUUCUGUACAAAACCUGCCAAAUCAUUUCCUCACUUCUCAAAACCCAAAUAAUCACUUAAAAUGCACAAAAUUACAAUUAAAUCAAUAUUACAUUACACAAAAUGACAUUCAAAACCACAAUACACUAAAACCAAGCGUGAAUUCUACACCCUCAAUAAGUGGAAGCAUUCGUACCUCAAAUGAAUUUGCAACUUAAUUUUUUGCUGAAAAACCUUGACCUACAAAACCAAAUUACAUUUAGGGUAAAUUACAAAAAAUUAUCUCAACUAUUGGUGGCACGACACUUUCAUACCUCAUCUUUUAAAAUUGACAAUGUCAUACCUCAUUUUACGAAUUUAUGCCAACGUUAUACCUUCCGUUAGCUUGGCAUAAAUUUCUCAGUUAAAUGUUGAUGUGGCUUGAUCUGGGGCCCAUUUUCUGUUAAAAAAAUUAUUAAAAACUAAAAAAAAUCAUUUAAUUUUUUUUAAAUAUUAAAAUAAUAAAGAAAAGUUAUAUAAAAUAAAAAAAUAAAAAAACCAACCAACACCCAGUUCGUCCCCUUCCCCCCCCUUUCUCUCUCCUCCCCAUCUUCAUCUUCUUCCCCCUUCUUGCAACUGCAACCCAGAAAAAAGAAGAGAAAAAAAAAACCAAUUUGUCUUCCCCACACCCACUCUCCGCACCCAUCUUCAUCUUCUUCCCCCUUCCAAUUGCAACCCAGAAAAAAAAAAAAAAAAAAAAAAAACCAAUUUGUCAAUUUUUUUUUUCUUCCUCCUUUCUGGGUUGCAGGAAGAUGGGGAAGAGAGAAGGGGGAGGGACAAACUGACCUAAGGUUUUAUUUUAUUUUAUUUUUAUUUACUUUUCUUUAUUAUUUUAAUAUUUAAAAAAUACUAAAUAAUUUUUUAAUAGAAAGUGGGCCCCGAUUCAAGCCACGUUAGCAUUUAACUGAAAAAUUCAUGGUCAAGUAACGGAAGGUAUAACAUUGGCACAAAUUCGUAAGAUGAGGUAUGACAUUAUCAAUUUUAAAAGAUGAGAUAUGAAAGUGUCGUGACACCAAUAGUUGAGUUAGUUUUUUGUAAUUUACCCUUACAUUUAUCAACAAAAAGGAAUCAAUGUAAGAAAGCAAACACAAUACAGAAAAAAUGGCCAUUCAAGUCAGCUCUAUUUAGAUUAUAAUAACUCUCAAUUUAAGAAAGCAAAUGCAAUACAGAAAGCAAAUAUAAUCCAAAUUACCUUGAACACCACCAUCAUAUUUUUACUCCGUUACGUAUACAUGUCCUUUUCUUUCUAGAUAAACUUUAUUUCUUUGAAGUUUCUGCAGGGUGCAUUCCAAUUUAACCCUUUAAAUGUUUGUAUAAAACUUAGGGUGCGAUGGCAAGUGCCUUCGCCCAUAAACGGUAGAUCUCGGGUUCGAGACUUGGGAGCAGCCUCUCCAUAAAUGGGGAUAAGGCUAGCCGACAUUCACCUCUCUCAGACCCUGCGUAAAGCGGGAGCCUUGUGCACUGGGUACGACCUUUAUAUUCUCGCCUGCUUGCAAGUCAACUAAGUCAACUAUUCAACCUUCACAUAUUGUUUAUUAGUUUUCUUGAUACUAAUGUAUGGAAAGGGCUUAAAUCCUUCAAUGUAUGGAAAGGGCUUAAAUCCUUCAAUUAUGGAUAUACUAAUGUAUAAUCCUUUGUUCUAGACCAAUUUUGUUCUUAGUUCUUAGUUUUCUUGAUACAAACUUUUUUUUUUGUAUUAAUAUAAAUUUGUUUGCACCAAGGGAUGGGGUGGGAACAUAUCUUGAAAUAUGGCCACGUCCACAUUUGCAGCUGAAGAACACUUCAAUAUAAGUUUAAUUUGGUGCAACUUUAGGUUUAAUUUGGGUAUGUUCCACCACUUAAAAUUUGCAAUACUAAUUUUGAACAAUGAAUAAGAAAAUUCUACCAAGAGAGAGUAAAAUAGUAAAUCAACUUAAUUUCUGUAAAAAAAAAAAAAAAAACUUGCAAAAAUUUCAUGAAAUUUUGGUAAAAACGGAAAAGAAAAGGGUUAAGACAAUCAAGACUAAUGGAAAAUUUGAUAUUGUUUUAACAUUAACUUAGGUUGAUUUUGUUCACCAGCAUUAAUAAAACGAAUGACUUUAACUUGGGCAAGCAAACAAUUAAAUUAGACGUAAGCCAAGUAACUUAGAAGUUAACCAUAUGAAAAAAGGAAAACUAAUGAAAAAAGCUUGAAAACUUUGAGUUUUAAUGAUAAGGACAAAAUAAAGGGUAAAGUGAAUAGUACCAUGAUUGACUUUUUAGUGUAAAAAUGUGGUUUUUCGUUAAAGUGAAUAGUACCGAGUGCUUUUCGUUAAAGUUCCCUAUGAAAAAAAGCAAUGACAAUCAAACUGACCUCUUCUUUCAUAUGAAGUAUAAUCUGUUCUCUAUUUUGCCUUUGUGAAGAAUGCACUUUUCACUUCCUACACACAAAAUAGCAUACAUUGAAAAUGCUCCGUAGCAUUAUAAAAACUAUAGAUAUACAGUACUGUAUAUGUAUCAUAUACUAUAUUGUGUACGUAGUUGGACAUAAGGUAUAAAGAUUUACUAACAUAAUUAAGCUUAAAUUUAACAAAAGAAGUAAUUACAAAUUGAAAUCAAACGAUAUUCUAGUUAUUCAAAAAAAUUCUGGCUAAAUUUUACAAAUAGUAUUAUAAAUUGUUAAAAAAAAUAACACAAUUGAAAAAACUCACCACUCAAAUCUGCAAUUCUAUUAAAAACACAUCACUAAAAAUUAACUCCAACAAAAGGGGAUUAACAAAUUAUACCUUUUUAAGAGUUGGAAUUGUUUAUCUAUAUCUUGAGCUGGACCCGCUGGAUUUGAAUCCUCAGUUGACUUAGAGGGAGGAUAGGCAUGAAAAGAAGUGUAAGGUUCACUGGAUCAUAUUUUUAAGAGAUAGAGAGAGUUCUACUUUUCAACAGCGGAGAGAACAUAUUCAAUCUUGGGCAUAAAAAGAAAAAAUAGAAGCUUCAUAGCACAAUAAUUAACCACAAUCCUCUGUUUUUCUAAAUGCAAAUAGAAAAAAGGAAUCAAAAUAUUCAACACAAAAUCUUCACAUUAGCUCAAGAACUAUAUUAUUUCCAGUGCUUUCCAAUUUUCCAGCACGGAACAACAAACAUAAAAGCAUUAAAAAUAUAUAAUUGCAAAAAAAAAAAAUAGCAAUUCCAAGAAACUAAAUGCGAAGUUAGCCAGAUCUGCACAGUAACACAAACCCAUUACUUGAAUUAAGAGCAUUGUGGCUCACCCUGAAAACACCCAUUUUGCAAUGAGGAAGAGAGACACUGCUGCUCUGGCUGCUGAGUGCUGCUGGCUCCAAAGCAGUUUGUCUACCAGAACUUUAUAAGAGCAAGUCCAACCCUUCAAAGCCACUGUAAAUCGCCAAGGAUUUACAUCAUUCUGCUUGCCUAAAAAAAGCAAACAAAAAAGAAAAAAAUGGAAAGUAUAAAAUUCAAAUGACCCUUGAUGAACAUAACCCAUAAAUUUUCCUUGUAUUCCAUAAAUGCAAUAAAACAAAAGUCAGUGUCUCCAUUUUCCAAAAAACCAAGCAAGCAAGCAACAAAUUUCGAAAACCCUAAUUCUAACCAAUUUAGAACUAUAACCAAGUAAACCACUUAAUCAACAAAACUCACUAAUUUUCUCAAAAACCCAACAAAUUUAAAGGAUAUCCAGAUGAUAAAUCCCAGUAAAAUCCCAAAUUUGAAAACCAGAAGAAAAAAAAAGACAAAGAGGCUUAUCUUUCUUCACUAAUCGGGCACUAACAGAAAAACCUUAAUUCAUAUUAUUCAGAUUACAAAUACACAGGGACCAAAUAGCUAAUAAUGCUGGACAAUUUGUCCCCAAUCCAACACAAAAAUUGUUCUUGUUAUACAUACGAUACCCGCCUAAAAUAUCAACCAAUUCCAAAUUAAAAUGGAAAAUGAAACGGAGCAUCAUAAAUUGAAUACAAUUUGGAGAAAAUUAUCUCACUUGGGGCGCCGAAUCUCCAAGAGGUCCCAAUCCGAGCAGGCUCCAAAUUGGGUUGUUGAAAAUGGUGAUCAAGGAAGGGUUUUGGAGGUGGGUCUGAUCAGAACAAAGCCGAAGCCAUUAGGUUUGGGGGGAGAGGAACAAAGAGCCACUGAGAGAGAGAGAGAGAGAGAGAGAGAGCAUGCGUUGUCCUUUUCUUCUAUCCGGCCACUGGAUCGCAGUUCCUUCACAAAAAUUAUACACGUGUGUUACUUUUUCAAGUUCUAGUUUUGUAAUCACCUAAUCGAUCAUAACACCAUUCGCAAAUAUGACAAACAUAAACAAUUAAGUCAGCAACAUGAUAUGCCAUUCCUUUCAUAUUGCACAUAUAAAGAAAAAAGAAAUGAACCAAAAUAAAAUUAUACUAUAAUCCAAUUAUAUGAAGGCCAAACUUGAGUUGGGGCUGGUGGCCGUUGACCACAUCAUCGCCUCCAUUUGAGAGAAAAGGGUUUGUUUGGCUUUUUUGUCCAAUUAUUUACACUAACCAUAUAUAAAUGAAGAAGGACAACAUCUAUGUUGCUCCCUUCUUGUGAUCCAAAUUUGAAGAGGGCCGAUGGGGAGGGGCAGUUAUAAGUGUCAUCCUCUUUGUUUCUCCUAUCCCUGCAUUAUCAACCAAAAAAACAUCAAACCAAGUGCAAUACAAUCCAAUUUAAUGCUCACAAAAUUUGAGCUCCAAACAAGGUCACAGGUCAGCAAUCGCCUAAUCGAUCAUAACACCAUUCGCAAACAUAAACAAUUAAGUCAGCAACUUGAUAUGCCAUCCCUUUCAUACAAACACAGAUUGCAAUUCAUAUAUGCCGCAUUAUUUACAAACAAUUACAAAUCAAGAAACAAUUAAAUCAUCAUCAUGAAUUAUAGUGUAAUAACAGCAUCAUCAAUUAGAAGAGACAGAGCUACAUGGCAAUAAACAUAUAGAGAGUAAACAUACAGAGAGGAACUGCUUCAUAUCCUUCCCAAAAGCAAUCUUCCGCAGGAUAACAAAAGAGCGGUUGAUCUCUGAUCUAAUUGCAGACGCAAUCUGCAGAACCGACUUCUAUGGAAUUUUAACUUGUGAAAUGUGGGGUGGAGAUUUGAAUGUAACAAAUUGGUGUUAAGUGAAUAAUUCCAAACAUAUGAAAUUUAGAUAAUCACAUCCGAACGCAAACAGAAGAAUUAAAUAAAGAAUCAAAGGCAUAUGCAAUCUAAUUAGACAAAUAAGUGAACUUUCCCAUGCCAAAAUCCGAAAGGCCAACAGAUAUCUCUCAUUACAGGACUUAAUACAUAUCUUAAAAGACAAAACUUAAAAUAACAAAAAUUAGGUGAAACAAUUGAAGAGAACAUAAUCCUUGUAACCAAUCCGGAAAAGAUGCUUUUAAAUCCCAGAAAACAAAUUAUGAGAAGUUUUUAAAAAAACCAUCAUUUCAAUUAUUUUCCAGUCUUACAUUUGGGAAUAAACAGAAAAUAUAACUAAAAUGCCAACUUUCUCAAAAAACUACAACUACUUUAACAAAUUUCCAUCACUCAACACUGAAAAAUGAGAAUCACGAAGCAACGAAGAACGGAACACGCUAGAAAUAACAACAAAGCCUUUUCCCACUAAGUGAGGUCGGCUAUAUGAAUCCUAGAACGCCAUUGCGCUCGGUUUUGUGUCAUGUCCUCCGUUAGAUCCAAGUACUCUAAGUCUUUUCUUAGGGUCUCUUCCAAAGUUUUCCUAGGUCUUCCUCUACCCCUUCGGCCCCGAACCUGUCUCGUAGUCACAUCUUCGAACCGGAGCGUCAGUAGGCAUUCUUUGCGCAUGUCCAAACAACCGUAACCGAUUUUCUCUCAUAUUUCCUUCAACUUCGGCUAUUCCUACUUUACCUCGGAUAUCCUCAUUCCCAAUCUUAUCAUUUCUCGUGUGCCCACACAUCCCACGAAGCAUCAUUAUCUCCGCUACACCCAUUUUGUGUACGUGUUGAUGCUUCACCGCCCAACAUUCUGUGCCAUACAACAUCGCUGGCCUUAUUACCGUCCUAUAAAAUUUUCCCUUGAGCUUCAGUGACCUAUGACGGUCACACAACACGCCGGAUGCACUCUUACACUUCAUCCAUCCAUCUUGUAUUCUAUGGUUGAGAUCUCCAUCUAAUUCUCCGUUCUCUUGCAAGAUAGAUCCUAGGUAGCGAAAACGGUCGCUUUUUGUGAUCUUCGCUAGAUUGCUCCGGUCAUUAGUGUGGAUAAGUAUAUAAAUGGAUAGAGAUAGGAAAGCAAACACCAGAUGUACGUGGUUCACCCAUAUUGGCUACGUCCACGGAAUAGAGGAUUUCUCAUUAAUUGUGAAGGGUUUACACAAGUACAUAGGUUCAAGCUCUCCUUUAGUGAGUACAAGUGAAUGAUUUAGUACAAAUGACAUUAAGAAAUAUUGUGGGAGAAUGAUCUCGUAAUCACGAAACUUCUAAGUACCGGCGUGUGGUAUCGUCUUGACUUGCCUUAUCUGUCUCGUAGGUAGAUGUUGCAUCUUCUCUGGAAGUACUCUUCCAUCCAGGGGUGGUAUCUUUAACUAGUGGAGAUGCACAAGGUAAUGUAUUAAUUUCACUUGAAGCUUACUUGUAGUUUCAGGCUUGGUCAAGCGCAAUACAAACCAUGUAGUAGGAGUCCCCCAAGUCGCCGAGCUAGGGGAUCUGCUGAAAGAGGUGACAGAUAAGGUAAGCAAUCAGAGCUCCAAGCAAUCAGUCCUAGAUCAGAACUUUGAUUUCGAGUUCCGGCUGAUUGUUCACAUUCUCCCUAUCUUGCAGGCAGCAUGAAGGAUAAAGAGAAGAAAAAUGAGAAGAGAUGAUAUGGGAUACUUUUGCUUUUGAAGAAGUAACUUUCCACAGGCUUAUUCUUGAACUGGGCUGGAGGGUUUUCUAGUUUCCUCCAGAGUAUAAGGCCGACUGAAGAAUUUGAGGGUCAAAACAAGUCCAUCAAAUCUAUAGUACGUUCGACCCUGCUGAUAUAGGAUACUUUUGCUUUUGACAGAGUAGUGGAUGUAUCGGCACGUGUGCUGUUACGCUUGUCUCCACAUGCUUCCUUGUAUCCUUCUCACUUGCCUUAUCUGUUCCUCAGGCAGAUGCGGUAUCUUCCCUGGAAGCAUAAAAUGUUGAAGAUGAGUACUCGAGAGCAAUGCCAGGUAAGUAAUCAAGUAAGGGGUUCCAGGCAGUCAGUUCAUGACUGGAAGCUUGAUUCCAAGUGCUGAUUGAUUGCUCUCUUUCUCCUUGUCUUGCAGGUAAGAACAAGGCCAAAGGAAAAGACAGGGAAAAAGCAUGAUAUGUGAUACUCUUGCUUUUAACCCUGAUGAUAUGAGAUAUUCUUGCUCUAGUAUAGCUUGUUUGCAGAGGUAUUAUCAGGGGGAAAGAAAGCUGAAUAUUUCGAAAGGCUUCUUUGGGAGUGGCUCUCAGAUAUGACGAAGGGUUGAACAUUUUUGCAGGUCUGCCUGUCCGUUGAGGAUGGAGGUCGACAUAUAUAGGAGUCUCCCUAACAACAAGUAGUAAUGCUAUUCCUUUACCCUGCUUGGUCAUAGCACGGUAAUGGGAGCUGCCAGCUUCACAUGUUUUAACUCUGUCAGAGCACUUUGAAAAAGUGAUCUGUGGUAUCUGGAAAGCUGAUGUUGCGUGUGAAGAUUACAGACAAGCUUUAUCCAAGGAGAUCCAGCUCUUGAAGUUGGGAAAGUGGUGCCUCUUCGGUUUUCGAACAAGUAAUCCUGUCGGAGAUCUGGCUCUCGAGAUUCGGAGAACGAUGCCUUUUCGAUUUUUGAGAAAGCAAUUCUGUUAGGGGUUUGGCUCUCGAGAUUCGGAGAGCGGUGUCUCUUCGAUUUUUGAGAAAGUAAUCAUGUUGGGAGUCUGGCUCUCGAGAUUCGGAGGGCGGUGCCUCUUCGAUUUUGGAGCAAGCAAUCUUGUUGGGAGGGUUUUCUCGAAUGUGAGAAAAGGUUGGGCAUGUUUGCUAGUCUACCUUGCCACGAAGCACAGAGGUUGACACAUAGGGACUUUCCAAUUAUCCAGCAGUGGUACUGUUCCUUUACCCAUGUGGGUAAUAAUAUGGUAACUAGACCUUCAAAAUUUAUGUGUCUAAACUUUGUUAGUGCUGUUUCUUUGCUAUUCUUUUACCCUUCUUGGUCAGAGCGAUGUAGUAGGAGCUGCAAGCUUCACGUGUCUCAACUUUGUCAGAGAACUUUGGCAAAGUUAUCUGUGGUACCCAUGAGCUAAUGUUGCGUGUGGAAAGUGGGUGAUUGAACAGUAAGAUUCAUGUGCUUUCUACUUCACCAGAAAUCUUCGACAUAAUGCCCAUAAUUUCCGCAAAGCUGAGUGUGCGUGUGACAGGUGCUGACAAGGUUGGAAAAGUAGGUGCCUCUUCGAUUUCUGAGAUCGGCCCUCGUGGUCUCUGAGCAGCCCAGCUUUUGAGAAAGCAAGCCUCUUCGAUUUCUGAGAUCGGCCUUCGUGGUAUUUGAGCAGCCCAACUUUUGAGAAAGUAAACGUCUCGUGGUCUCUGAGCAGCCCAGCUUUUGAGAAAGCAAACGCCUCUUCGAUUUCUGAAGCUCCGUCGAGUGCAGAUUUUUAUAGAGGCUGGCAUUAAGUUCCAAAGCACACUUGAAUCUCCACCAGUAGAAGCUCCAUUCUUGCACUUCUAAGAUCUUGAUUUGUCCGACCUCUUCUCUCUUCAACACCUUUGAAAAUGUCUGGCCCCCUCCGACCGUCGUUUUGACUUGAACCUUGUUGAAGAGGCAGCCACGCCUUCUCCAAACAACAUAUGGCGCCCAUCCUUCGUCUCCCCUACUGGUCCUCUUACCGUUGGGGAUUCCGUGAUGAAGAAUGAUAUGACCGCUGCGGUAGUGGCCAGGAACCUUCUCACUCCCAAAGAUAACAGACUACUUUCCAAACGGUCUGAUGAGUUGGCUGUUAAGGAUUCUCUGGCUCUCAGUGUUCAGUGUGCAGGUUCUGUGUCUAACAUGGCCCAACGCCUAUUUGCUCGAACCCGCCAAGUUGAAUCAUUGGCGGCUGAAGUGAUGAGUCUCAAACAGGAGAUUAGAGGGCUCAAGCAUGAGAAUAAACAGUUGCACCGGCUCGCACAUGACUAUGCUACAAACAUGAAGAGGAAGCUUGACCAGAUGAAGGAAUCUGAUGGUCAGGUUUUACUUGAUCAUCAGAGAUUUGUGGGUUUGUUCCAAAGGCAUUUAUUGCCUUCGUCUUCUGGGGCUGUACCGCGUAAUGAAGCUCCAAAUGAUCAACCUCUGCUGCCUCCUCCUUCUAGGGUUCUGUCCAGUACUGAGGCUCCAAAUGAUCCCCCUCCAGUGCCUGCUCUUUCUGGGGCUCUACCGACUGCUGAGACUUCUCCUAAGCAACCUUUGUGAAGGCUCCCUCUUGUUUGUUUAUUUUGACUCAUGUAUAUGUACAUAUUUGUAACUUAUCGGGGAUAUCAAUAAAUAAGCUUUCCUUCAUUUCAACGUAUUGUGUUAAAUACACCAAAGCCUUCUUCGCUAAGUUCUUUGAAUUUUCUUUUUGUUGAAGCUUGUAUGUUGAAGCUUUGUGAGUGGAGCAUGUAGGUUGAGGUAGUAUUCCCUUAAUUUCCCGAGUGAGGAAAACUUCUCGGUUGGAGACUUGGAAAAUCCAAGUCACUGAGUGGGAUCGGCUAUAUGAAUCUUUGAACGCCAUUGUGCUCGGUCCUGUCAUGUCCUCCGUUAGAUCCAAGUACUCUAAGUCUUUUCUUAGAGUCUCUUCCAAAGUUUUCCUAGGUCUUCCUCUACCCCUUCGGCCCUGAACCUCUGUCCCAUAGUCGCAUCUUCUAAUCGGAGCGUCAGUAGGCCUUCUUUGCACAUGUCCAAACCACCGUAACCGAUUUUCUCUCAUCUUUCCUUCAAUUUCGGCUACUCCUACUUUACCCCGGAUAUCCUCAUUCCUAAUCUUAUCCUUUCUUGUGUGCCCACACAUCCAACGAAGCAUCCUCAUCUCCGCUACACCCAUUUUGUGUACGUGUUGAUGCUUCACCGCCCAACAUUCUGUGCCAUACAGCAUCGCCGGCCUUAUUGCCGUCCUAUAAAAUUUUCCCUUGAGCUUCAGUGGCAUACGGCGGUCACACACAACACGCCGGAUGCACUCUUCCACUUCAUCCAUCCAGCUUGUAUUCUAUGGUUGAGAUCUCCAUCUAAUUCUCCGUUCUUUUGCAAGAUAGAUCCUAGGUAACGAAAACGGUCGCUCUUUGGUAUUUCUUGAUCUCCGAUCCUCACCCCUAACUCGUUUUGGCCUCCAUUUGCACUGAACUUGCACUCCAUAUAUUCUGUCUUUGAUCGGCUUAGGCGAAAGACCUUUAGAUUCCAACACUUCUCUCCAAAGGUUAAGCUUUGCAUUUACCCCUUCCUGAGUUUCAUCUAUCAACACUAUAUCGUCUGCGAAAAGCAUACACCAAGGAAUAUCAUCUUGAAUAUGUCCUGUUAACUCAUCCAUUACCAACGCAAAAAGGUAAGGACUUAAGGAUGAGCCUUGAUGUAAUCCUACAGUUAUGGGAAAGCUUUCGGUUUGUCCUUCAUGAGUUCUUACGGCAGUCUUUGCUCCUUCAUACAUAUCCUUUAUAGCUUGGAUAUAUGCUACUCGUACUCCUUUUCUUCUCUAAAAUCCUCCAAAGAAUGUCUCUUGGGACCCUAUCAUACGCUUUUUUCCAAAUCUAUAAAGACCAUGUGUAAAUCCUUUUUCCCAUCUCUAUAUCUUUCCAUCAAUCUUCGUAAGAGAUAGAUUGCCUCCAUGGUUGAGCGCCCUGGCAUGAACCCGAAUUGGUUGUCCGAAACCCGUGUCUCUUGCCUCAUCUAUGCUCAAUGACUCUCUCCCAGAGCUUCAUUGUAUGACUCAUUAGCUUAAUACCCCUAUAGUUCAUGCAAUUUUGUACGUCGCCCUUAUUCUUGUAGAUAGGCACCAAAGUGCUCGUUUCGCCACUCAUUUGGCAUCUUCUUCGUUUUCAAAAUCCUAUUGAAAAGGUCAGUGAGCCAUGUUAUACCUGUCUCUCCCAAAACUUUCCACACUUCGAUUGGUAUAUCGUCUGGGCCCACUGCUUUUCUAUGCUUCAUCUUCUUCAAAGCUACAACCACUUCUUCCUUCCGGAUUCGACGAUAAAAAGAGUAGUUUCUACACUCUUCUGAGUUACUCAACUCCCCUAAAGAAGCACUCAUUUCAUGUCCUUCAUUGAAAAGAUUAUGAAAAUAACCUCUCCAUCUGUCUUUAACCGCGUUUCUCUGUAGCAAGAACCUUUCCAUCCUCAUCCUUGAUGCACCUCACUUGGUUUAGGUCCCUUGUCUUCUUUUCCCUUGCUCUAGCUAGUUUAUAGAUAUCCAACUCUCCUUCUUUGGUAUCUAGUCGCUUAUACAUAUCGUCAUAAGCCGCUAACUUAGCUUCUCUCACAGCUUUCUUCGCCUCUUGCUUCGCUUUUCUAUACCUUUCACCAUUUUCAUCGGUCCUAUCCUUGUAUAAGGCUUUACAACAUUCCUUCUUAGCCUUCACCUUUGUUUGUACCUCCUCAUUCCACCACCAAGAUUCCUUUUGGUGUGGGGCAAAGCCCUUGGACUCUCCUAAUACCUCUUUUGCUACUUUUCGGAUACAACUAGCCAUGGAAUCCCACAUUUGGCUAGCUUCCCCCUCUCUAUCCCACACACACUGGGUGAUUACUUUCUCUUUGAAAAUGACUUGUUUUUUCUUCUUUUAGAUUCCACCAUCUAGUCCUUGGGCACUUCCAAGUCUUGUUCUUUUUUCUCACUCUUUUGAUAUGUACAUCCAUCACCAACAAGCGAUGUUGAUUAGCCAAGCUCUCUCCUGGUAUAACUUUGCAAUCCUUACAAGUUAUACGAUCCCCUUUCCUCAUUAGAAGAAAAUCUAUUUGUGUUUUUGACGACCCACUCUUGUAGGUGAUCACAUGUUCUUCUCUCUCUUCUUAAAGAAGGUGUUGGCUAAGAAGAGAGAUCAUAUGCCAUUGCAAAAUCCAAGAUAGCUUCCCCAUCCUCGUUUCUCUCCCCAAAACCAUGGCCACCAUGAAAACCUCCAUAGUUGCCUGUCUCCCUGCCCACGUGUCCAUUUAAAUCUCCUCCUAUAAAUAACUUCUCCGUCUGAGCAAUUCCUUGCACCAAGUCUCCAAGGUCUUCCCAAAAUUUCUCCUUCGAACUCGUAUCCAACCCUACUUGAGGUGCGUACGCACUAAUCACAUUGAUAAGUUCUUGUCCUAUUACAAUCUUGAUUGCCAUGAUUCUAUCUCCUACCCUCUUGACAUCUACAACAUCUUGUGUCAAGGUCUUGUCCACGAUGAUGCCAACACCGUUUCUCGUUCUAUUUGUGCCCGAAUACCAAAGUUUAAACCCUGAGUUUUCUAGAUCCUUUGCCUUAAGACCAACCCACUUAGUUUCUUGUAGGCACAUAAUAUUUAUCCUUCUCCUCACCAUAACUUCCACUACUUCCAUAGAUUUUCCCGUUAAGGUUCCUAUAUUCCACGUUCCUAAACGCAUUUUGCUCUCUUGAACUCUACCCUUCUGUCCUAGCUUCUUCACCCUCCCCCAUCUAAUAGGAUCAAAGUACUUCUUUUGUGUGUUCCGUGUAAAGUUGAUAGGAGCAUAUGCUUCUAAACAACUUUGAGUGGAGUCGUUCGAAAAGAAGUUUCUAUGGCCCCCUUGCUCAUUUAACACUGCAUCCGGGUGCCGAUGGAGAUACAACGACCCUUGCUCACUUAUCACUGUGCUCGGGCCACACAGCGCGCCACUUACUGGUGACACCCUAGCUUUAGCGCAAUUUCGUUCUGGAUUCAUUUUCAUAAGGAUUCGACGUAAUCAUGGAGUGCCGGCUGUCGACUACCUGACGCCCUCCCCCUCCUCCUUUAUCCAGGCUUAGGACCGGCAAUGUAAGAUAAACUUACACAGGCGGAGUUAACGGAACACGCUAGAACUGAAACAUUAAAAACAACAUGUACCCAUUUCAAAGACCAAAAAUCCUGCAAGGACAAAAAAAAAAUCCGAGAAAAUCAGUACAUCAGUACUCCCUGCAAAACCCCAAAAUCAGAAAAUUAGAAAAAGAACCCAAAUCAGUGGCAUGGUCCUUGUUUCUCCAUUAAUCAGUAGGUAAUGACCUAAUGAAAAAGAACCCAAAACAGACGGCUUAAAUUAUGGAAAGUGCUUAUAAAGCUCAUGAAUAACUUUCAAAGCCUGCAUUCCACAGUGUGCACACGCACAAACAUAAAAUAUACAUGCAUAGUUAAUUUUAGACAAUAAUACCUCAGAACAUAAGUUGCAAUUUGGGACUAUUUGGUUGACUCAAAAGAAAUUGAUGGGUUAGAAAACCACAAAAAAAAUACAAAGACGGAUGUUUUUAUGUCGUUCAUUUCUUACGUCGACAAAACACACACACCUGUGUUUUAAUGCUCCUCCAAUACUCAAUGAGAAGGCACCAGGCAAAAAGAAGGUCAAGGCUGGAAAGAAGCUUCCAAAGAGAACAAUAUAUAAAGCAGACCACAAAAAUUAGACAAAACCCAAAAACUAAACAGUAGAAAAACCUCUAAAAUAUAUAAAUAUAUAUAUAAUUAAAUAAUUUAAAAAAAAACUAAACUGCAAAUACUCUAGAAAUCGUAAAAUGAACUGCAAACCCGUCAAUCAUUUCCCAAAACCACAUAACCAAAGAGUAAAAAAGGGAGUACGGGAGAGAGAAGCAGCCAAAAUACAGAGAAGAUGGCAAGAGAGAGAGAGAGAGAGAGAAAAAUGAAUUAUUUUGGUGCCUCUGGUUCCUGCCUUUGUUCUUUGUUUUUCAUUUAUUUAUAGGUAACUUGCUCAAGUCCAAAGGCAAUUAAACAUGAUUAGUAAAGCACCAUAAUAAAGCAUGAGAGAUAUCUAUUUUAAUUAAAUCUGUUGUGGGCUCACUGUGAUUGUACAUCAUCAUCAUAAAUAAUGCAUGCUUGAACCCCAUUUUAGUUUCAUGCCUAUCAUAAUUAAAUCAUGGAUGGUCAAGAAGCAUAGGACUGAGAAAUCAGAGCCUAAUUUCCAAUAUCAAAAGAGUACAAAUUAUUCAACUUAAACGCUAAUUUCGUUAACGAAGAUUAAAAUAGGCGUGAAAUCCAUACAAUUUAUACGUUACCAUUGAUUCAAGUUCUGGUAGGUAUCCAUGGAAACUAUCCGUUGCCACUCUCUCAGUUCCCAUAUUUUCUGUAUGUUUCAUUAAACAAUAUAAACUUUUGAUGCUCUUCCAUCUGGAGCUAAAACAGAUUACCAAUAAUAACAAAGAGGUCUAAAUAAUAGAAAUCAAAAUUUUGAUUUUUGCGGACUUUAGAGAAUCUGCAAACUUUAGCCUAACAUUAUGUGAUUGCCUCACUUCUUCAGUAACUCAGAGGAGGUGAAUUACUCAAAGUAUGGAGGACUUCUGCUAACAUAUUUCAAGCACUUGUAACAUUAAAUGUAAUGACAGGUUGACAUUAUUAUUAUUUUUUUUUUGUAAAGAAUUGUUGCAAGAAGUUUGACCCUUUGUCUUUUUAUUUCUGUAAGGAUUUAUAGGUACAUAUAAAAUCCAUAUUAUAUAUGGUUCACAGAUGAGAGUACUUCAAACACCAAAUAUUCAUUCAUGAUUGGAGAUAAGAAAGCUUACUAAGAGGCAAUCGCCUUUGUGAUGUUUACUUUUGUGCUUAUCCUUUGUCUUCUUUUCUGAGGCAAAAUAUGUCAAUGUGAUAAGUAAUUUCCCAUAAAGAAUAUCAUCCUCAAUAGGCUAAACAACUACAAUGGUUAGUCAAAUAAUGUACUUUCAUGUAGUUAAUCUCCUCGGUUUGUGUUUACUUUUUCAAUAUCAAAACAUCUCGAAGAAACAACGUUUUCCCUUACUCUACAAACACCGAAUGUGCCCGAUAAACCACUAACAACGCCAUUACUCUAAUUCGACUGCAGAGUGAGAGUUAAGAUAAGAAGAUACUCACAGGCCAAAACGGAUGACAUCACCAACACAUAAAUCCAAAAGCCACAACCAAAUUUAAUUUUGUUUUUACGUUGAAUUUUUUUUUCUUGAAUCCGUUUGGAUGCUGAGAACGUGUGGUAUGGGAUUAUUAAUUACCGGCAGGGAAAAUGACGAUUUCUCCUAUUUGCAUUUGCAGGUGGAGGAAUCAUAGCCGAGGGAUUGCAGUUCGUCGGUGACCAUCUUCCUCAAAUCGUCUUUUUGUUUGAGAUUCUUGUUUGCUUCGACGAUCCUCGCCGUAUCAGCCAGGAGGUUUCUCUCCGAGACGCUCACGCAUGGAAUCAGACUCUGAUUAAACAAUAAUUAAGCAAACAAUCAAUCACCCAUAUUCAUAUUCUGUGUUUGGUUGCCAAGAAACCGCGAGAAAUGCAAAAACAAUUUACUAAUAAAAAAGUGUAAUCAAAGCAACCAUUAUUUAUACUUUUGUACCUUAAGAAUAUCUGAGGCGUCGCCACCGAACGAACCGGAGGAGAUUGAAUCACCGAAACCUCCACCGAAUAUAUCGAACUCGUCGUCGGAGCUGUCAUUGCUGUUGCCGUGAAAGCAAUUGCAGCGGUUCCGUCCACAUUUCGGCGGAGGUUGCUUCUCGUUGCUUUCUUCGAUGAAAUUCUGAACCAUCUUCGCCAAGCAGACCGAACUUGGCUUGAACUCAGGCCGCGGCGCUGACGGUCCCUUCAUCCUUGCUGAUAUUGAGGCCGCAGGAGUGGCGAGUUGUGAUGUGGACUCAGGCCUCUCGGCCUCUGGGUUUUACGGAGAAGGGGAAGAUGGUGAGGGUUGAGAGAGAUGCAGAGUCUGAAAGAGAGUGAAAGAGAAAGGGUUAUAAGAGAGGUUGAGUGUGACAGAGACGAUUGAAGCAAAACGCACGAUGAUAAACGCGUGUGCUCGGUUCAGAAUGGCAAGCCCGUAAAUACCCAAUGACAGAUUUGUAAAUAAAAUGAAAUUCACUUCAAAAUACUGUUCAUUUUAAUAGUGCCUAUUGAAAACCUUACUUUAGACUAAAGUAACUAAAAAUUAUGUUUGCGCGUUGCUACUAGAACCAACUGUUUCAAACGUAAUUGGAUGGACAAAACACAUUUAAGUUGAAUAAAUUCAAAACAAUUACGAACAAACAGAAGGAUACAUGAGUGCAUGAGGCCGGUAAGAUCAGCAGUUUUGCUUUUGUACACUUGUAAGUGAGUUGACAUAUAAACACAUUGCACAAUGAGUGAGAAUAAACUCUACGUGUUUGAAACUUCAUUUUAAACUAACAUUCACACAAUCCUAAUCAUUUGUGAAUUACCAUAUUCUUAUCAUUAUUCCAAUAUCUCUUCAUGUAGAUGGGGUGAGCUCAUACCAGUCACUAAGAGCAUUUUUGAUACUCUACUUGAAUCCAACUUUUUAAAUUCAAAAACAAUUUUCAAGUUUUAAGCCUUAAAAACUUGUUUGGUAAGAUUAUUUUCAAAAAUUGAACUUAAGAUUAACUCAAAACUAUAGUUUACUCUCUAAAAACACAAAAUGUAAAUUUUUAGAGUUUUUAAACUUAAACUCACUCAUUUCUUUUCUCUCCCUCCUCCUCUCUCACUCCAAAUCUAUCUCUCUUUUCUUCUUUCUAUGUCCCCCUUUUUUUUUUUUUUUUUACCUUUUUCGUCUCUCAUCCAAUCCGCUCUCUUCAUUAUCUCGAUUCUUUUUCUCACUUAUCUUCCUCUAUAUCUCCUCCGAUCCUCUCUUCUUUCUCUUUCCUUCAAUCAUAUCUUACUUUCUUUCCUCCUCUUUCCUCUUUCUCCCUCGACCCCCUCUUUUUGGAUCUCUUUGUCCAGUUUAAGUUGUAAGAUUUAAAAAUUUUAAAUUACAUACCAAACAAGUUUUUUAGUCUUAAAUAAAAUUAUUUUUCAAGAAAAAUUCUUAAAAAAUGUUUUGAGAAAUGAUAAAAAAUUUCAAAUAGGAUACCAAACAAGCAUUAAAAUUGCUAAUGUAUUUAGUGAUUAUACAGAGCAACUUAACUAUAGAAACGCUCCUCAAAUCACUCUAUACGUUUCCAUUUUGCUUUUCAAAUUAGCAUGUUUAUAUAUUGACAUUAGAGAAAACGAGAAUGCUGAUGAAAAUUGGAUUAUUAGAGGUUAAACGGCAGCGACCCCCCCCCCCUCCCCCCCCCAAAUCCAUUUUUGUUGGUUGACAUUCUGAAUAUUGACGGUUUACCUUGUCCUCCUUAAUUUCCUAUAAUCGGUAGUAUAGGGGCGACAUCUUGGCAUUUGUUGCAGUGUCGUAUCCAUCUGUACCCCCCUCCACUACCUUGCUUGUCUCCUUUAGUUUAUCUGUUGCUUGCCUCCCUUAACGAGCAGAAACCAAACAAGAACACCCAAUUUUGACACGUGUACAACACACUCAAACAUCAUCAGCGUCCAAGAAGGCUAGGCGCCAUAUCACAGAGAUCCAUCUUGGCCUAGGUCCCUCUCUAGUUUCUUGCUAAUCAAAAUUCAAACCCAAUUUUUUAUUCGGAAAUAAAUUUCAAAAUUUAGGAAAUUUUAUUAUCUGAAAAAGAAAUAAUUUUCAAGGGUUACACUGUGACUGUGCUGAUAAACACAUGGAUACCAAGCUCUGUUGUGAUUGCUUCCCUUUACGUUUUUUCGCCAAUCUUUGUGCACCAUUUAGACAUUGAUAGUGAUGCCAGUUUUAGCUGUAUCCUCACAUAAAAAUUGCCAAAUAUACACAGAUGUCAAAGAUCUUGAAGUUUGGUUCACAUGCUUUGUCAGGGAAGAUCAAUGUAUGCGAUUGGGUCGUCUGGAAUUAGCAGUGUAAAAGGUGUUGGUAUACGGUCCAGCCCAUGAUCAAUGUUCUAGAUUAUUCUAGUAAGCAAGAGAUGAGGCUGGAGCUUGCUAGACAAUUCUAGCAUGUUAUUAAGUUGAUGGAAGAAGCUAGAGAGUACUAGCUUCCUUGGUUGCAAAUGGAAAGAUCUAGAAGCUACAAGUAUGUGGCUAGUCUAGAUUUUUCUAUACUAGAGGUUUGAAGAAGGAACUAGAAACUAGUAGAAUGCCAAGCCCUCACCUAUAAAUAUGGGUGUGAUGUAACCAAUUGAAAAUCAAGAAAGAGUGAGUAGCAAAGGAUCAAGUCCAAAGCUAGAGUUCCACUCCAAGAGUGAGAGUGAGAGUGUUCCACUACACAUUGUGUGAGUGAAGUUUAGAGUGAUAGAAAGUGUGUGUUAUACUUUCUUGUAUCCAUCAAGCCUUGUCUUUGGCUUGGUAAGACUACUCUUGUUGUAUUCAUUUUUUUCAUAUAGUGAAGAUUGAUCCUUGUUUGGUGGACGUAGGCAUAAAUUGCCGAACCACAUAAAUUCUUGGUGUCCAUUUUCUACUUUACCUUGUGCAUUCUCUAUCUUGUAGUACUGACAUUCCUAACAAGUGGUAUCAGAGCCCGGUUGGCUCGUACUACGAGAUGGAAGGAAGUGGCACUAUGAUCAAACUCACCAACUCCAAUUGGGUAACAUGGAAGCCAAGGAUGGAGGACAUUCUCUAUUGCAAGGAUUUGCAUGAGCCAAUUGAAGGAGAUGCCGCUAAGCCCGAGAGCAUGUCCGAUGCCGAGUGGAAGAAGAUGAAUCGCAAGGCUAUUGGCACAAUUAGACAAUGGGUGGAUGAUAGUGUUUUUCACCAUGUGUCUAAUGAAACCAAUGCUCGCGAGUUUUGGACGAAGCUUGAGUCCUUGUUCGAGAAGAAGACCCCAGCCAAGAAAGCCUUCUUGAUCAAAGAGCUCAUCAAUGUGAAGUACAAGGAUGGUUUAAGUGUAGCAGAACACUUGAACAAUUUCCAGAAUAUCAUCAACCAGUUGGCUACUAUGAAAAUGACGAUCGAGGACGAGCUACAAGCGCUCUUGUUACUUGGAUCCUUGCCAGACAGUUGGGAGACCUUUGUGGUGAGUAUAAGUAACUCUGCUUCUAAUGGUGUUCUUACUCUUGAUAAUGUUAAAAAUAGCAUGCUCAAUGAAGAAACAAGGAGAAAGACUUCUGGCACAGAUAGCAGCCAAGUAUUUGUCACAGAGAACCGCGGAAGAAGCAAGAGUAGAGGGCCUAGAGGUCAUGGCAGGAGUCCUAGCCGAUCCAAGUCAAGGUUCAGGGGUGCAUGCCACCAUUGUGGCAAAGAAGGCCAUAUGAAGAAAAAUUGUCGAGUUUGGAAGAGAGAGCAAAAGGAAGGAAACAAUCAGAAGAAAGAUGAUACUGGCAAUACCACUGCUGUCAUAUGUGGUGAUGUACCAGAAAUAUUGUCUGUUGGUGAAUGUCUGCAUAUGGGCAACUCUGACAGAGACAUUGAAUGGAUCUUUGAUAAUGGAGCUUUCUUCCAUGCUACGUCCAAACGGGAGUUCUUCAGUACAUACAAAGAAGGUGACUUUGGCAUAGUGAAGAUGGGGAAUGAAAGCUAUUCCAAAAUUCUUGGAAUUUGGUGAUAUCUGCUUAAGAACUAAUCUCGGCUGCCAAUUGAUGUUGAAAAGAUGUGAGACAUAUUCCUGAUAUACGUCUCAAUCUGAUAUCCAUCGGUACCCUUGAUCGACAAGGAUAUUAUCACCAUAUUGGCGAAGGAAAAUUGAAGCUUACUAAAGGCUUAAUGGUGGUAGCAAGAGCACGACUUUGUUGUACGUUGUACCGGUCAAAUGCCAAGGUUUUGAAAGGUGAGUUGAAUGCUGUGGAAGACUCAUCUCUAGACUUGUGGCAUAAGAGGCUAGGCCACAUGAGCGAGAAAGGCCUACAAGUUUUGGCAAAGAAGUCUCAUAUUCCCUUUGCCAAAGGUACGUCGUUAAACUCUUGUGAGCAUUGUUUAUUCGGAAAACAAAGAAGAGUUAGUUUUUCUGUUCCAUCUACAAAGAAAGGAAACUUGUUAGAUCUUGUUUAUUCAGAUGUGUGUGGUCCCAUGGAAGUCGAGUCACUUGGAAGAAAUAAAAUAUUUUGUUACUUAUAUUGAUGAUGCUUCACGAAGGGUGUGGGUGUAUUUGUUGAAAUCCAAAGACCAGGUGUUUCAGACAUUCCAGGAGUUCCAUGCCAUGGUGGAGAGGGAAACUGGGAAACCUCUCAAGUGCCUUCGUAGCGACAACGGCGGCGAAUACACAUCUCACCAGUUUAGAGAGUAUUGUGUAAAACAUGGCAUACGUCAUGAGAAGACAGUUCCUGGAACUCCACAACAUAACGGUGUUGCUGAAAGAAUGAACCGAACCAUCAUGGAGAAAGUCAGGUGUAUGUUGAGGACUGCAAAGUUAUCUAAGCAGUUCUGGGGUGAAGCUGUAAGGACAGCCUGCUAUUUGAUCAACCGAUCUCCAUCAGUACCAUUAGGUCUUGAUGUUCCAGAGAGAGUAUGGACUGGUAAUGAUGUGUCUUACUCUCAUCUGAAGGUGUUUGGUUGCAAAGCUUUUGUGCAUGUGCCCAAAGAGCAGAGAUCGAAGUUAGACUACAAAGCUACACCGUGCAUCUUUCUUGGUUAUGGCGGUGAAGAUUUUGGUUACAGAUUAUGGGACCCAUACCAGAAGAAGUUUAUCCGAAGUAGAGACGUGGUCUUUUAUGAAGAUCAAACAAUUGGGGAUUCGGAUAAAGAGGCACAACCAGAUGGCGCAGUCAGAGGAGUUGAUCCAUUAGUUUCAGAUGAAGAAAGUCACGAUGACAUCCCUGAAGCAACUGCCAAUGAAGUGCCUGCAGAAUCAGAUAAUGCUGAUCAAGAGGAGCCUGAUCAAGAUGUGCCAGACCAUGAGAUUGCUGAUCAGGGGGAGCCUAGUCAAGAAGAGCAGAUUCAAGGAGAAUCCAAUCAGGGGGAGCCUCUAGCCCCGCAAGAGAAUGAAGAUCAGGUCAGAAGAUCCAGCAGAAGUCGAAGACCGUCUACCAAGUAUUCUUCAUCAGAGUAUAUCAUGUUGACUAAUUAUGGAGAGCCCGAAACUUAUGAGGAGGCCAGAGCUCAUAACGACAGUGAUAAAUGGAUGAAGGUAACUUGGAGUCAUGAUCGGAAUUCCUCCCUCAUGGACUGGAGGGGGAGAUUGUUGGUAUACGGUCCAGCCCAUGAUCAAUGUUCUAGAUUAUUCUAGUAAGCAAGAGAUGAGGCUGGAGCUUGCUAGACAAUUCUAGCAUGUUAUUAAGUUGAUGGAAGAAGCUAGAGAGUACUAGCUUCCUUGGUUGCAAAUGGAAAGAUCUAGAAGCUACAAGUAUGUGGCUAGUCUAGAUUUUUCUAUACUAGAGGUUUGAAGAAGGAACUAGAAACUAGUAGAAUGCCAAGCCCUCACCUAUAAAUAUGGGUGUGAUGUAACCAAUUGAAAAUCAAGAAAGAGUGAGUAGCAAAGGAUCAAGUCCAAAGCUAGAGUUCCACUCCAAGAGUGAGAGUGAGAGUGUUCCACUACACAUUGUGUGAGUGAAGUUUAGAGUGAUAGAAAGUGUGUGUAUACUUUCUUGUAUCCAUCAAGCCUUGUCUUUGGCUUGGUAAGACUACUCUUGUUGUAUUCAUUUUUUUCAUAUAGUGAAGAUUGAUCCUUGUUUGGUGGACGUAGGCAUAAAUUGCCGAACCACAUAAAUUCUUGGUGUCCAUUUUCUACUUUACCUUGUGCAUUCUCUAUCUUGUAGUACUGACAUUCCUAACAAAAGGAGGAUUGAUGAAUCUGAGAAAGAGGAUUGAAAGCAAAAGAGAUGAGAAGCUGAAUGGAAAACGUCGCUCCAGCUUCCUCUUUGAUUCAAUCUCGCCCACUGAAUAAAAAUGAGAGAGACAACGCAAGAAGGAACCGUUACAAACUUCACAUGCAUUACACACCUCUCAUACUCGCAAACCUCUAUCCAGUCUAGUAAGGGCUUUGAAGCAGCUUCUAAAACGGACUAAGGGCUCGUUUAAGCAUAAUAAAAAAUUGGGUUUACACCCCCCUUGUGUACCUGGUAAGCCCCUCUUCACAUUGGAUCUAAGCAUAUAUUCUUAGCUUUUGAAGCAUCCGACAAAUAAGGAGGAUAGGUUUUUUUAGAAGUUUCUGACUCUUCUUCAAAUAAAUCCAUUUUAUCGGGAUUAAAAAUAGGAAUUGGUAAAAAUCUCAAAGACAACACAAGAAGGAACUGUUGCAAACUUCACAUGCAUCACACACCUCUCAUACUCACAUGUCUUGCAUGUGUAUAUCUAAGACAAAGUCCGCUACUAUGACAGCUGGCACAAUCCGAACCUAUGAGCUAGUCUAAUCUCAACCAUUUAAUUUCAAUUCAAACAAAUAAGGACAAGACUAUGGAACUUGAAUUCUAAGAAAUCAGCUUCAAGGCUUAAUCACUAACAAUACAUACCUGAUCAAAAAAGAAAGAAAAAACACAACUUUACAAUACAUACGGAUAAGUAAAUACUGUCCACGUACUAACCGCAGGUGAAGAAAGAAAUACGCGAAAAAGCAAAAAACUAAAUAGAAGAGCUCUCAGAAUAAAGAAACCAACUCAAAACACAAAAGAGUGAUAAACUCUACCACACAAAAUCACCAUUUAUUCCACCUCCCAUGUCCCCAGUCUUACUACAUAUCAGUGAUGAUGCGCCAAAUACCUCAAUCCCCAUUACCCCGUGACCCACAGAUACAACCCCAUAUUCUCCCACCUCUCCUUGAUGCUGCCACCGCCUUCUCCUUCUCUUCCUCAUGGCUCGACUGCUUGAGAUAACUCAAAAUUGCCUCAACAGCCACCGCCUCCUUUUCCUCGCAGCUUGAGUCCACCGUCACAGUCAACGGUGCGGUGCUCUGAUUCUGAUCCAAAUUCCCAGAAGUGCUGAAACUUUGUCGUUUUGGGUGGGAACCCUUUGAUCCAUGAUUGCUGUCCUGAUGUAUACUAGUUCCCUCUAGUGUACUCUCUGCCUCAAGGAACUCCAAAUCUCGCAGCCUCAUCUCUUCCCCAUAACUUGACUCCUCAUGAUCUGUCAAAAUUUCUGAACCAUCGCUCCAGGGGAGGAGGGAUUCCCCAUCAGCCACCGCUUCAUUUUGCUCAUUGUUUGGGACCAUGGCAAUGAUGGCAUUAAUCAUAGGUGCAGUGCUUCGAAACUGAGCCAAAUCCGCCAAAGUGAUGAAUUGUUGUUUAGGGCGGUAACCACGUAUACCAGUUCCCCCUAUGUGAAGGUUCUUCAAAUACCGUAAGUCUUCAGGCAACUUCGAAAGUUCUGAGCACCCAUGGAGAUUGAGCCAUUCGAGACUCAACAAAUUGCAGAUACUGUCCGGAAUAUAGACCAGGCUUUUGCACUUUUUCAGAUUUAACGACACUAGCCCCUGAAGCCGUUCAAUUGAUGCAGGAAGCUCUCUGAUAGAUGUUCGAUCCAAAUCAAGGCUGGCUAACCUUUCCAUAUUUUCUAAUAUGUCUGGAAACACCUCAAACUUUGUACAACCAGAAAGAGAGAGAUAAUUUAGGGACUUGAGUUGACAAAUGUUGCUUGUAAGACUCUUAAAGUCUUUGCUAUACCGUAGCGUCAAAGUAGCAAGUCCCGUAAGACUAUAAAUUAUGGAUGGCAAUUCUUCAAUUGCAAUCCCUGAAAACUCAACAAUUUUUCGGCGGCGAGAGGCUUGCUCACGUUCAAGCUCUGUAAGAUUUUUGAAUGUUGAUGAAUCUUCUGUAAAUAUAGUCCAAUCGAAAUUAAGCUCUGUUAGGUUCUCCAUACCUUCUAGAAACUCUGGAAAAUUCUUCAGAUUUGAGCAGCCAGAAACAUUCAGGACUUGAAGAGAUCUCAUAUGAAUGCUGCCUGGAAAAAUCUUUAAUCUUCUGCAAUCCUUCAGGCUCAGGGUAACGAGUCCUGUAAAAUUUUUUAUGGACGAGGGCAGUUCUGAAAUUGCAGUCUCAUCUAAAUUAAGCUCUAAUAGGUUCAUAACUUCAGGAAUUUCUGAAAAAUUAUCCAGAUUUGAGCAGCCGGAAAGAUUAAGGGUUUGAAGAGAUCUCAUGUGAAUGCUGCUUGGAAGGCUAUGAAGUUUCUUGCACUGCUUUAGACUCAAACUCUCAAGGUUUUCAAGAGAAUAAAUUGAUGGGCAAAGGUCUUCAACAGAUGUCUCAUCCAAGCGAAGCUCUCUUAAUCCUUCCAUAUUUCCGCCAUUUUCUGGAAAGGCUUUGAGCUUUGAACAACCAGAAAGAUUAAGAAAUUGCAGGGACUUGAGUUGAACAAUGCUGUUUGGAAGAAUCUCAAGUUCUCUGCAAUAUUCAAGAUUCAAAGUAACAAGCCCCGUAAGAUUGUUAAUUGAUCGAGGCAGUUCUUUUAUUGCAGUCCCUUGCAAAUAAAGCUUUGAAAGCUUCUCCAUAAUUUCUGAAAUCUCUGGAAACUUCUCAAGUAUUGAGCAAAAAGAGAGAUCAAGGGUUUCAAGAGAUUUCAUACAAAUGGUGCUUGAAAAGGUCUUGAGUUUGCCGCACCAACUUAGAUCCAAGAGGACAAGUUUUUCAAGGGCAGAAAUGGAUGGGUGAACCUCAUAUAAACUUUGUGCAUCCACCAAGAAUUAGGUUCUCAAGAUUCUUUGCCUCAGUGAAGUCAGGUGUUUCCUUAAGACGAUAAGAGCCUUUUAAGUUGAUAAUUUUCAACUUUUCCAGAGGCUGUCAAUAUACAACAAGGAAAAUAUGUGUUACCUACAUAAUAAGGCAUUUAAAAACUAAACAAUUUAAAAGCAGUAUAUAGGCAAAUGAUGAACGUACCUGAGUUCCUUUCCAGAGGUGUUCAACCCAACUAUAUUGCAUGUCAAUGUCAACAAGAUUCUCUGGGUUAAAAUUGGACGAUAAAGACUUUAGAGGACAUUUGUGCCAGAACAAAUAACUUAAUUUUUCAGAGAGAAACUUUAGAUCCUUGUAUUUCCAUUCAUCAUCGGAUUCCCUGCCCGGUGGUUGUAAAUAGUGGGUAUGGACUCUGAGUAGUCUUAGUUUUAUCAUUUUAAAAAAAGCGGUGUCUAAUUCCACCACAUUGUUUGAGUAUGGCCAACGCACAAUUAUGCUUUCAACUGCUUCUGUAGCCUGGAUAACCAAAAUUGCAAAUUGAAUGAGUACAAAACUUAAGAUUAUAACUUCUAAAUGCACAUGUUUCUCAUUAAUUGGAUUUUGGUCAAAGUUGAAGCUUUAUACUUUUUAUUAAUAUUAAUAAUAAUAAUAUUAUUAUUAACAUUAUUAUUAUUAUUAUUAUUAUUAUUAUAAUUAUUACUAUUAUUAAAUUUACUAAUAUUAAUGUGAGAGAGAAGAUUCAAAGCAAUUACAUUAAUGGAAGGGAGGGAGUGCGUUUCUCACCGUUUCUCGACUUAACACAUGAUGAACAUCUUCAUAGCUCCACAACCUACUGCGCCUCCCAGGCUCUUUUAUAGAUUCCUGGCGUACGAUUUCGCGACCCAUUUCCUCUAGUAAAUCAUGCAUCUCGAGUACACCAUCAGAUGAGACAGUGACAAGAGCUCUACCAACUAGAACGUCUAAUCCGGUAUGGGGAUGGAAGUCACAACCCUCCAUAAUCCUUGUUGCAAAGUCUUUCUUCAUUUGUUUAAAGAAACAUGCAAUAUCAAGAAAUAUUUCCUUCUGCAAACCAUCUAGUCCAUCAAAGCUUGUUCUAAGGACUGUCUGGAUUCCCAGGUGCGGAUUUCUCGCUAUUUUCUUUAACUCAUCUUUCCACACAAGUACACUUUUGUUAUCGAGGAAUGCUCCCAAGACUUUGAGUGCUAAAGGCAAACCUUGAGCAUAUUUUAUGAAAUGGCCUGACAAAUCAACGUAUUCUUCUGUGGGUUGCUUUGUACUGAAAGCAUACUGCAUAAACAGCUCGAGAGCAUCAUCGUCAUUUAACAACUCGGGCUCAUAUAUCUGAUCACCAAGUCUACUUAGUGACUGUUUCUCUCUAGUUGUUAUAAUGAUUCGACUUCCGCCACCAAAUGAAGGUUGCUUUCCAAUUAAGGCUUCAAUUUGGGAUGAACUCUCCACAUUAUCAAGAACAAGUAAAACCUUUUUCCUACCAACUCUUUCCAUCAUCUUCUGAAAACCAUUUCUCAAAAUCUCUGAACUCCCCACCUUCAUAU
rnacentral:lncRNA from 1 species